UGAAUUAACUUGAUUAUCGGAUUAUGUUGCAGUUGUAAAGGUAGGCAUUACAGCCCCAUGAAUAGGGGAUACACUUUAAAGUAAAACUCCAGAAUUCUCCACGCUCCCUUCCCAGCGUCCUGGCCUCUGUUACGUAAAGUCCAAUAACAACGCUGGAUCUCCCCUCCCCUUGACUGCCCUCUGCUGGCGUGUUGGACAGGGGCCAGGCAGACCUGUGCUCAAACUUCCUUUCAAACAAUUUACUAGCUCUAGGAUCGUGGAAAAUCGUUGGCCUUCUCGGGAUCCUACCUUCCAACAGUAGCCACCAGCCUUAUUGUUUCAUUGCCAGCGGAAGAGGCUGUGGAAAGAGAAUUCAAGAGUACAGACUGAUCCUAGCACUCUGGGAAGCCAAGGGUUACUGAAAAGAUUAAAUCAUAUGAUGGAUGUCGAGUACCUGGAAGACAGCCUAGCCCACAGAAAGUGCCCAGUAAAUGUUGAUUUUUCUCAUGA